rnacentral:SRP_RNA from 1 species
GAAGGCCAUGGCUUCAUGGAUUCUAAAGUGAAGAGGACCGCGUCAGGCUGGCUGGUAGGGUUUGGGGCAGUAGUAUACUGGAUUGCCCUCUGAUCUCCUAGCAAAGAGUUGGCCCAUGUGACUUAGGGGAAGGUCAAGAUUUCAUGGAUCCUAAAGUGAAGGGGACUGCAUCAGGUUGGCUUUACAGAGCAACGAUUGCCUCCCCUCUUUGUAGUGGAAGGAUUACAGAUCAGUGCUGCCAAGCCCAUUAAAUGCCAGAUGGACUUGUCUAACUUGGACCAUCUUUCUU